AGAUUCGAUUCACCAAUCGAAUCUAAUUCUGUUUGUGUCGGUCCUUCUACCUCAUGAAUUUUAUCAAGUUCAAUUUUACAGGCAUUAGCUCCUUUACUGAGGAACUUCUUUUUCAAAAAGAUUGCCCAACUGCUAACAAAUACCUUUUGUUUUGCAGCGAGAUAGAAGUAGUAUCCUUUAGUUUUCUUUAGAUACCCUACAAACAAGCAUCUAUUGGACUUCGGUCCAAGCUUAUCUGUCUUUAAAUACUUGACAUAAGCUAAACACCCCCAGACCCUA
rnacentral:lncRNA from 1 species